CAGUAGCCGCGGUAAUACGUAGGUGGCAAGCGUUGUCCGGAAUUAUUGGGCGUAAAGCGCGCGCAGGCGGAUAGGUCAGUCUGUCUUAAAAGUUUGGGGCUUAACCCCGUGAUGGGAUGGAAACUGCCAAUCUAGAGUAUCGGAGAGGAAAGUGGAAUUCCUAGUGUAGCGGUGAAAUGCGUAGAUAUUAGGAAGAACACCAGUGGCGAAGGCGACUUUCUGGACGAAAACUGACGCUGAGGCGCGAAAGCCUGGGGAGCGAACGGGAUUAGAUACCCGCGUAGUCCCUGUCUCCUUAUAC
rnacentral:rRNA from 1 species